CGCACAGGAUGCACCGUAGUUUACUACACCGUAUUCUGUGAGUUGCGAACGGGUGAGUAACGCGUAGGUAACCUGCCUGGUAGCGGGGGAUAACUAUUGGAAACGAUAGCUAAUACCGCAUAAGAACAUUUACUGCAUGGUAGAUGUUUAAAAGGUGCAAAUGCAUCACUACCAGAUGGACCUGCGUUGUAUUAGCUAGUAGGUGAGGUAACGGCUCACCUAGGCGACGAUACAUAGCCGACCUGAGAGGGUGAUCGGCCACACUGGGACUGAGACACGGCCCAGACUCCUACGGGAGGCAGCAGUAGGGAAUCUUCGGCAAUGGGGGGAACCCUGACCGAGCAACGCCGCGUGAGUGAAGAAGGUUUUCGGAUCGUAAAGCUCUGUUGUUAAGGAAGAACGAGUGUGAGAAUGGAAAGUUCAUACUGUGACGGUACUUAACCAGAAAGGGACGGCUAACUACGUGCCAGCGGCCGCGGUAAUACGUAGGUCCCGAGCGUUGUCCGGACUUAUUGGGCGUAAAGCGAGCGCAGGCGGUUAGAUAAGUCUGAAGUUAAAGGCAG
rnacentral:rRNA from 1 species